rnacentral:rRNA from 1 species
UACGUAGGGGGCAAGCGUUGGUCCGGAAUCAUUGGGCGUAAAGAGCGUGUAGGCGGCCCGGUAAGUCCGCUGUGAAAGUCGGGGGCUCAACCCUCGAAUGCCGGUGGAUACUGUCGGGCUCGAGUGCGGAAGAGGCGAGUGGAAUUCCUGGUGUAGCGGUGAAAUGCGCAGAUAUCAGGAGGAACACCAAUUGCGAAGGCAGCUCGCUGGGACGUUACUGACGCUGAGACGCGAAAGCGUGGGGAGCAAACAGG